GCUGCUUUGGCAGAUUAGUGCGGUAAGUUUAGAAUUUAUUUAUGCAGUUUUGGCUGCAGGUAGUA
rnacentral:tRNA from 1 species